CGAGCGAAUGGAUUAAGAGCUUGCUCUUAUGAAGUUAGCGGCGCACGGGUGAGUAACACGUGGGUAACCUGCCCAUAAGACUGGGAUAACUCCGGGAAACCGGGGCUAAUACCGGAUAACAUUUUGAACCGCAUGGUUCGAAAUUGAAAGGCGGCUUCGGCUGUCACUUAUGGAUGGACCCGCGUCGCAUUAGCUAGUUGGUGAGGUAACGGCUCACCAAGGCAACGAUGCGUAGCCGACCUGAGAGGGUGAUCGGCCACACUGGGACUGAGACACGGCCCAGACUCCUACGGGAGGCAGCAGUAGGGAAUCUUCCGCAAUGGACGAAAGUCUGACGGAGCAACGCCGCGUGAGUGAUGAAGGCUUUCGGGUCGUAAAACUCUGUUGUUAGGGAAGAACAAGUGCUAGUUGAAUAAGCUGGCACCUUGACGGUACCUAACCAGAAAGCCACGGCUAACUACGUGCCAGCAGCCGCGGUAAUACGUAGGUGGCAAGCGUUAUCCGGAAUUAUUGGGCGUAAAGCGCGCGCAGGUGGUUUCUUAAGUCUGAUGUGAAAGCCCACGGCUCAACCGUGGAGGGUCAUUGGAAACUGGGAGACUUGAGUGCAGAAGAGGAAAGUGGAAUUCCAUGUGUAGCGGUGAAAUGCGUAGAGAUAUGGAGGAACACCAGUGGCGAAGGCGACUUUCUGGUCUGUAACUGACACUGAGGCGCGAAAGCGGGGGGAGCAAACAGGAUUAGAUACCCUGGUAGUCCACGCCGUAAACGAUGAGUGCUAAUUGUCAGAGGGUUGCCGCCCUUUAGGGCUGAAGUUAACGCAUUAAGCACUCCGCCUGGGGGAGAACGGGCCGCAAGGGCUGAAACUCAAAAGGAAUUGGACGGGGGGCCCCGCACAACCGGGUGGAGCAUG
rnacentral:rRNA from 1 species